rnacentral:lncRNA from 1 species
UGAAAUGGGAUGGAUAGUUGAUAGUUAAUUACUGGGAAACUAAGAUCUUCAUGUCUCGUUCCUGCACUAGUUUACCCAUAAAGAAUUUUGAGCUGGUACAAAGUAAAGAUUAUUGCACAAAUGACAACUAAAAUUAGCAGACCAAUGCCAAACUGUGAAGUUACAUCAUGCAAUGCAAGAUAGAUGCGGAUGUGAAUUACAGUACUUCGUACUUUUUAGUGAAGGUUCUUAUGCAGAAACAAAAACAUUCUUUUCCUUUAACCACAUCGUUUCUUUCUUGCCAUUCUAUUUUGUUUUUUCACAACAUAAAGCCUCCCAAAAAAUAAAAGUUCAUACUAAUUUUCACAAUAUGAAUUUCCCUCCCAACCAAAUGAGGUGUGAAAAUACCCAUGUACUUAGAUUUAGGUGCACGUUAAAGAACCCCAGGUGGUCCAAAAAGGUGGUCCAAUGUCCCUCACUAAGGGACUCUGCAAAUAUAAUCAGAUCGUGGUUUUGGAACGUAAAGCCCCAUAACUUAAACUGAAUUAAACAUGCAAUCGAAAUUAGCGAUGUCAUGCAAAGGUCUCCACUGUUUUAAACGAGACACUACAUGCACCACAUGGUGGCUUAUAGAUGGUUUGCAUUGACCUCGCACUGCAACGUUGAAGCUGCACAUUAUGUUUUGCCUGGAAACGUUGCACUGAUUUCCAGUUCACCUGCAUCAAUGCCGUGGAACCUAAUCUGUGAAUGCAGCUCCAGUGAGACAAUUGCAUUUUAAAAUUUCUGUUGACGUCACCAUGUUUGCCAAUGGUUCUUGCAACACAAACACACACAAGAAAAAAAGAAAGAAAUGGCCCAAUAAUUCACAAUGACACAAUGAUCACACUGAUGCAUGUCAUACAGCACUUGACAGAAUCAUAGGCUCCGUUUAUUGCAGGAAGUCAUUCUAACAUUAUAUAUAUGUAUAAGGAAUGGCAUCAAGCCUGCCAUUUAGUUUGCAUACGUUACAACACAUGUAGAAGACACUGUAUAAGAGAGCGAAAAAUAAA